CACAUUAUUUGAUCUUCAUUUGUAGUUUCGAUAUUGGUUGUUGACUUCAUUCAAGAACUCUUGGCAAAUGACACAGUCAACUGGAGAAUGGAUGUUCUGGAGUGUUUCAAGAUCACCCAAGGCAUGACAAAUUGAUAGUUUGGCGAGUUGUGGUCUUAAAUGGAACCCUGCAAGUUGAGCGAGGAAACAAAGAUGGAAAGCAUGGCUACUUGG